GAUUUCUCUCUCUCUCCCUCGCUCGCCCGCUCACUCUGAACCCCCUUCUACCCCCACCUCCUUCUCUCUCUCACUCAUUCUCCAUCUCUCUCUCUCACACACACACACACUCUCUCUCUCCAAACACUCUCUCUCUCCUCCUCUGCCUCUCUCUCUCCCUGUCUGUCUGUCUCUCCCUCCCUCGGCUUCACUCGCUCUUGUGCUGUAAGUUCAUUUGCUGUGUCAAGCAACAACUGGCUCGGGAGUGGGCAUUGGGUUUUGAUCCUUUUGUCAAGCGUCCCCUCUGCGAUGUGUACCGCAUCCACCUGCACACCACGGGACUGGCCGCCUGGCUCUCUCUAACGUUGCCGUACCGUCCUGGGUUUAUCACGAUUGGGCAUCCCACCUUGCUGAAACGGGUGGUACAAUGAGAUGCUGAAGGUUUGACGGGGUGAACCUGCUACUGUGGACUAUCACCAUCAUCAUCAGAAUCAUCACAGUGGCAAUGGGAGUCAGGACAUGGACACUCGCUGGAGGACCUCCGCAGGGUCCAUGCAUCCCAGAAUGCAUUGGGGCAAGGGAGUGAGGCGAUAAGCGCGAGGCAAAGAUGCAUUUGCUCUGCAGCAGUGUCCACGGUGCAGAUGUUGCAGGUUAUUUCCGUGAAGUUUCAUCAUGAUGCUGGGACACUGAACUCUGGUAAUCUGCGCUUCUCUCCAGAGUGUGUUUGCUUUGGCAAGGGAACACUUCAGCAAAUGUGUGUCUCAGUGUGUACAUAAAUUAAUAUUUUUUUGAGGGUGUUAAAAUUGUGCUGUAUUGGUCGGUAGAUUAUGGUAAUUUGAUGUUUGUGUUAAUGGAUUUGACAUCAAAUAUCAUUUCCAUAUGGAUCUGUUACAUAUGAGCCUGCACAGACAAGGUGAACAAACAGAAAAUACUAUUUUGUGUUCAUUUGUUUUUCAUACAAUGUAUUUGUUUCAUGAUGUGUGAGCUACAGAGGUCCAUAAAUACAGUGUUAAUGUAAAAUCAUUCACGGUUAGUGAGGAAUAAACAAGCGUGAGGUUUAUUAGUGAGGUAUGAAAGUGUCAGGAAUGUAAAACAGGCCUAAGCCAGGUUGUACUCACCAUGUUGAUUGUUAAUGAGAUGCCACAUUCAUUUACUGCACACUGGGGAAAUUCCACAAUGACACCUGAUUCCUAAAAUAACACACAUUUAUAACCACAAAUACAUCCUGAUUGACCUCCAUGGUAAAUAUUAAAAAUAAAAUGUUUUGUGGUUAUAUUCAAUAAUCUGCUAACAACCAGAAGUAAGCAGUAAGCAUGUAUACAAAAGCACACGUGAAUACACUUCAGUGUAUUUAACUUUAACAAAGUAUUCUCAUUUUAGAAACACGUUCACUUAAAUACAUUCUAAAACAUAAUAUCUUGGUUUUACUUAAUUACAUUUCAUAAAAACAUAACAUGCCCAUCGUUACUUCAA
ensembl:lncRNA